GAUGAAGAACGUAGCGAAAUGCGAUACUUGGUGUGAAUUGCAGAAUCCCGUGAACCAUCGAGUCUUUGAACGCAAGUUGCGCCCGAAGCCUCGGCUAAGGGCACGUCUGCCUGGGCGUCACGCAUCGCGUCUCCCCCAAACCGCCAAGGCGGAGGGGAAGGAAGAUGGCUUCCCGUGCCUCACCCGGCGCGGUUGGCCUAAAUUUGGAGCCCGCGGCACUUAGCUCUCGCGGCGAUAGGUGGUGAACAAGGCCUUGGCCGUGCAAACAACCCGCUGCGAAGCUCUAUGUCACGUGCGCUCGUCCGACCCUUUGAAGUUGCCUUCGGUGACUUAAAACCUUUGCGACCCCAGGUCAGGCGGGGCUACCCGCUGAAUUUAAGCAUAUCAAUAAGCGGAGGA
rnacentral:misc_RNA from 1 species